rnacentral:rRNA from 1 species
UACGUAGGUGGCGAGCGUUGUCCGGAAUUACUGGGUGUAAAGCGCGUGUAGGCGGGAGGCCAAGUCUGCGGUGAAAUCGCUCGGCUCAACUGGGCGGGGUCCGUGGAAACUGGUCACCUGGAGGACGGUAGAGGCGAGUGGAAUUCCCGGUGUAGUGGUGAAAUGCGUAGAGAUCAGGAGGAACACCGGUGGCGAAGGCGGGUCUCUGGGCCGAUACUGACGCUGAGGAGCGAAAGCGUGGGGAGCGAACAGG